rnacentral:rRNA from 1 species
GAUGAACGCUGGCGGCGGGCCUAAUACAUGCAAGUCGAGCGAAGCGGGGACGGGUGAGUAACACGUGGAUAACCUCCAAUAAGACUGGGCAAACUUCGGGAAAACGGAGCAAAACCGGAAAAUUAAAGAUGGAACAGCGCUGCAUUAGCUAGUUGGUAAGGUAACGGCAUACCAAGGCAACGAUGCAUAGCCGACCUGAGAGGGUGAUCUGCCACACUGGAACUGAGAACCGGUCCAGACUCCUACGGGAGGCAGCAGUAGGGAAUCUUCCGCAAUGGGCGAAAGCCUGACGGAGCAACGCCGCGUGAGUGAUGAAGGUCUUCGGAUCGUAAAACUCUGUUAUUAGGGAAGCGGUACCUAAUCAGAAAGCCACGGCUAACUACGUGCCAGCCGCCGCGGUAAUAC